rnacentral:sRNA from 1 species
UUGACAACCCUGGACACUGAUGGCCUCUUUAUCUACAGAGCAGAUACAACCCAGGCACCAGCAGUGCAAACUUCAGCCACACUGCCUCCUGCAGUGUGCCUCAACUUUGACCUGGAGAGACCAUCUCUAGGGGUGAGGGAGCGUUCAGUCUCCUUAGUCUAUUCAGUCCUUGGCGCCU